rnacentral:rRNA from 1 species
UACGAAGGGGGCUAGCGUUGUUCGGAUUUACUGGGCGUAAAGCGCACGUAGGCGGAUCGAUCAGUCAGGGGUGAAAUCCCAGGGCUCAACCCUGGAACUGCCUUUGAUACGUGUGAUCUGGAGUGAGGAAGAGGGUCGUGGAAUUCCCAGUGUAGAGGUGAAAUUCGUAGAUAUUGGGAAGAACACCGGUGGCGAAGGCGGCGACCUGGUCCGAUACUGACGCUGAGGCGCGAAAGCGUGGGGAGCAAACAGG